GCUACUUCAGGCAUUGGAAGAAUUGCCACUUUUGCAGUCAAAUCCAAGUAACAUCUGCUCUAUGCAACCAGUCAAUAUUGUGGAAAAGUUCAAAGAAUGAAGAUCAUUAGUAGUGUCAGCUUUACAACCAGAAGACAGUGAAGCUUUCUUCUUGUGUGCACUUCUCAUGCACUCUCUUGGCUCCCUGGAAUCCUAGGGCUCAGCUGUACUUUGAAGACCUGCCUAGGAACAUAAUCUGUGGCAAAACUCAGGAUCGGAAAUUUGUAAAACAAGGUUUCUUUCACACUAUUGGGAUGAAUUGAAGAGACAAGUAGACAAGAGCUCUGUGACCAUCGAUCUGGAAGGAAGAACUUGAGCCGCAGAUUCUGAUUGUCAUAGGAAACGCUGUUUUGCAAUCUCUUCCUGGUUACACAGCAGACGUAAAAUGUGUCUGACUCCUAGGCAUGGGAGAGGGCCAACUGGCUCCAGAAGUAUUCACUUUUGUAGUGUCCACUCAGCUAUGGCAGUGAAUCUGUUUGUUGGGGCUAUGCUAUAAACCAAAUCACUGAACUAAUCUGAAUUAAAAAUAAGCUUUUCUUGAGGAAAUGAGAUACAGGGUGGGAACUUCUGAAGCCCAUUUCACUUUUGAAGCCAGGGUCUUACUGAAUUACACCAGCAGAGGCCUAGACCAGAGCCCAUAAAGAGAGCUGUUGAAACACCUACUAGUCACACUAGGACAGCCUCAUUCCUCUUUGUCACUAGUCCUGGCUGAACUUGAAUUUCUGGAAACAUAAUAUUCAGACAAAUGUGUGUUGUCCUUUCAGCAGUGGUUUGGCAAUCAUUUCUGUUUCAUUAAUCAUCCAUACAGCAUGGCAGUGAUCUGAUUUCUCACAGUAGUGAGGUAGGGUUAGGUGUUAUAUGUGGCAUUACCCUUACAGACAAAACUGGCACUGUUGGAGGGCCUGGAGGGCAGCCGAAUGCCCUAAGGCAGUGCUCAGCUCCUGCGAGAAAGGAAGAAAGAAGAAAGGAAAGGAAGGGCUUUGUCAUCAACAGAGGGAAGUGGCUGCCUGCACAAAUUGCUGGCACCUUGUAUAUUUUCCUUAAAUUCCCACAAGGUCAAAUGCGAUCUACCUGAAUUCUCUUCUCUGGCCAAGGAUUUGUUGCAGCCAUAAAUGAAGAGUGUGUCCAGAGAGCUGCUACCGCUGCCUGCAUUUCAGGGGCUGCGGCAGCCAGGCAGGCUGUUUGUGCUUGUCCUCAUCCUCUAAUGGCCUGAGAGAAAGAAGAUGCAAAGCUACUUUUGAUGCAUAUCUUCUCACAGCCCUGAGCUGACCUCAUCACAGCCUGGUGCAGGCAUUAAUCAGGCCCAUAUAAUUCACAUAGGGAAUUCUGGAGUAAAUGUUGGGCUGUCUCCAAUGUAAACAUUCCUCUUUGGAUCUAGGGGUCCAGAUGACAUUGUGCAAGUUCAUGAAAUUAAGAAAGUAAAACCAACUAGUAACAAACACUUUACUUUGUAAAAUUCAGGUUGAAAGGCAGCAAAUGAUCAUAGCAUAGUAACUAAAAAUUACACUUUAAAAUGCAUGUAAUUUUAUUAACCAUAUAUAGAAUUAGUAGUACAGAUUUAAACACUGCUUUAUAAAUUGGAUCUGUGUCAUCAUAGUUUCAUGCUGAUAAAACUACUCCAGUGAGGAGUGAGGAGAGUCUGGAGAAGCAUGAGGACAAAUCACACAUUAUUCCUUAACGCUGUGCUGCCACUGUGUGUAUUGGCUGUUCUAACAUUUGUUUAUCUCUAAAGACCAGAAUUUUUUUAGUUUUCUCACAUACUACAAACAGCUACGAUUGUUUAGGAUACAAACACAAAAUAAAGUGACAAUAUAAACCAAGUACACAUUUUACUAUCAAAAUGCAGGAAGGUGUAAUUAAUAGAAUGAUAGUG